rnacentral:rRNA from 1 species
UACGUAGGGUGCAAGCGUUAAUCGGAAUUACUGGGCGUAAAGCGUGCGCAGGCGGUUUGCUAAGACCGAUGUGAAAUCCCCGGGCUUAACCUGGGAACUGCAUUGGUGACUGGCAGGCUAGAGUAUGGCAGAGGGGGGGUAGAAUUCCACGUGUAGCAGUGAAAUGCGUAGAGAUGUGGAGGAAUACCGAUGGCGAAGGCAGCCCCCUGGGCCAAUACUGACGCUCAUGCACGAAAGGCGUGGGGAGCAAACAGG